AGUAUAUAUGACAAUGAUUUUUUGGAACUAAAGUUUUGAAGAGGUUUGAUAAAAAAAAAAAAAAUUUCUCUUUCUUUCCGAUAAAUAUGGAAGCACGAUGCUGGGAUAUAAAUGCAGAAAAAAAAGGAAACAUUGUAUCCAGAUUUGAAUAAAAUCUCUUAAAAAUUCCGUCGAUUCAAAACUGAGAACAAAUUUUUCUGAUACACAAUCUGCAAAUAAAAAUCUAGAUAUGUCAUUUAUUCCAGUAUUUCUUUCCAGGACUGUUCUUAAAAGUUUUAUUCCAUAUUUUCUCCUAGUAUUGGCUACUUCAAUCCAUUUUAUCUUUCUAAAUAGGUUCGCUAUUUUUCUUCUUCUUCUUCUUCUUUUUAUUUUUGUUUAUAGUCAUUCUGCAACAUAUUGGACAAUUCAACUCGAAAAUUUUCUUUAUGGCACACAUACACAUAUAUAAAAGUAUCCCUUAAAAGGAUUGCCAUGAAAGAUGGUUCCGGAAACGUAAAAAAAUAUUUUAUAGAGGUAUAAAUAUUAAUAUGAUACUUUAUAUGGCGCAUAAAUAAUAUGUAAAUAUAUGAUAUACGUAAUCGUAUAGGACUGAAGUUUCAUAACUUUUUUCUUUUACUAUAAAGCGCUUAAGUUAUAGUACUCAAACUUGUGCAAGAAUGGAGAUUUUUAGAGCUUGUUGAUCGUACGUAAUAGAAUUUUUUUGUGUAUCUCAUCUAAUUAUAAGUUUGACGUACCAAUUUCCAGUUUUUUUUAUAAUUUUUUUGAACAUUAAUUUUUGAGUUUUUCGUUACAGAUCAUCGACUUUAGUCGAUUAUCUUUGUGCUUCUCGGUAUUUCUUCUAGUUUAGUGUCACGAAAUAAUUGCGUUAAUUGUGUUUUUCUGAUUAAUUCAAGUGUGAAAGAAUGAGAUUGUUGUAGUUUCAUCGGAUCUACUCGAGAAGAAAGUAGGACUCCUCUGCAAUUGUUAUGUUUGCUAACUCCCAUUAAACGUGUUGCCUUUCCGAUUCCUUUUAUAAACAGUUCGAGUUCAGUCUAACUAACAAAAUUACCGACCUAUUUUUUUUUUUUUUUUUUUAUACGACUAGUUUUAUCUAGUUAACGCUUUAUUGUAAACGGUGACCGAUUGAACUGAAGUCGAAAGAAGAAGAAUCGAGAUUUUUGCAAAAUGUUUUAAAACAAUAGUAGUGUUUAAAUUCCGUGACGAACUUAAAAUUUUUGUUGCAAAUUUUAUUGCAGCUCUAAAGUUCACCACAAAAAAAAAAGCAAAAAAAUUUUAAAAAUGCAGUUUAUUUGGUUUCUAUUGCUAUUUUAGAUUAAGA
rnacentral:lncRNA from 1 species